UGGCUCUCGCAUCGAUGAAGAACGCAGCGAAAUGCGAUAAGUAAUGUGAAUUGCAGAAUUCAGUGAAUCAUCGAAUCUUUGAACGCACCUUGCGCCCCUUGGCAUUCCGAGGGGCAUGCCUGUUUGAGUGUCACGUUAACAUCUCAUCCACCGUGGUUUACUGCGGGACGAUGGGGAUUUGGACGCCUGCCGUUGUCGGCUCGUCUUGAAAUGCAUUAGCCUUGCGUCUCGCCUCUGGCGAUCCGACGGUGUGAUACGCAUCUGCACUGUCAGCGUCUCUGGUAGCAUGGCUCACAAUCGUCCCUUGCGGGACAGCUUCUUAAGCUUUGACCUCGAAUCAGGUAGGACUACCCGCUGA
rnacentral:misc_RNA from 1 species